UCCGCGGCGGCCGCUACCAAUAAAGUUGUUGUUCUGCCAACAUGGCGGCGCCCAUGGUGACUGGCGGGGCCGUGUUCGCCUAAAGUGGGAACUAACGCGUAAGGCGCCUUAGGCCAGAGCCUGUGAGCAGGGCCUUCCCACCUUCUGAAGAAUGGCUUCUCCUUGGCAGAGACUGGGUUUUUAUGCCUCUCUUCUGAAAAGGCAGCUAAAUGGUGGGCCAGAUGUCAUCAACUGGGGAAAGAGAGUGAUUCCAAGGCGUACCAGAGGUAUUUACAGUGCCACGGGAAAGUGGACGAAAGAGUAUACAUUGCAGACAAGAAAGGAUGUCGAGAAAUGGUGGCAUCAACGAAUAAAAGAACAGGCCUCCAAAAUUUCAGAAACCGAUAAAUCAAAGCCCAAGUUUUACGUGCUUUCCAUGUUCCCAUAUCCUUCUGGCAAGCUGCACAUGGGCCAUGUGCGUGUGUACACCAUCAGCGACACCAUUGCACGGUUCCAGAAAAUGAGAGGGAUGCAGGUCAUCAACCCCAUGGGCUGGGAUGCUUUUGGACUGCCUGCCGAAAAUGCUGCCAUUGAGAGGAAUCUUCAUCCAGAAAGUUGGACGCAAAGUAAUAUUAAACACAUGAGGAAACAGCUUGAUCGACUGGGCCUGUGCUUCAGCUGGGAUAGGGAAAUAACUACAUGUUUACCAGAUUACUACAAAUGGACUCAGUACCUCUUUAUUAAACUCUAUGAAGCUGGACUGGCCUAUCAAAAGGAGGCCUUGGUUAACUGGGACCCAGUGGAUCAGACAGUGCUUGCCAAUGAGCAGGUGGAUGAACAUGGCUGUUCUUGGCGUUCUGGAGCAAAGGUGGAACAGAAGUACCUCAGACAAUGGUUUAUUAAGACAACUGCUUAUGCAAAGGCCAUGCAGGAUGCGUUGGCAGACCUUCCGGAAUGGUAUGGAAUAAAAGGCAUGCAGGCCCACUGGAUCGGGGACUGUGUGGGCUGCCAUCUGGACUUCACAUUAAAGGUUGAUGGGCAAGUCACGGGGGAAAAGCUGACCGCCUACACAGCCACCCCAGAGGCCAUUUACGGCACUUCCCAUGUCGCCAUCUCUCCCAGCCACCGACUCCUCCACGGGCACAGCUCUCUGAAGGAUGCCUUUCGGAAGGCACUUGUCCCCGGCAGAGAUUGCCUCACGCCCGUGACGGCUGUGAACAUGCUCACCCAGCAGGAGGUCCCUGUUGUUAUCUUGGCCAGAGCUGACUUUCAGGGCUCUCUGGAUUCAAAAAUAGGAAUCCCCAGCACCAGCUCAGAGGACACCAUCUUAGCCCAAACCCUGGGCUUGUCCUACUCUGAAGUCAUUGAAACUUUGCCAGAUGGCACAGAGAGACUGAGCAACUCUGCGGAGUUCACAGGUAUGACCCGGCAGGAUGCGUUUCUGGCCCUGACUCAGAAAGCCCGGAGGAAGAGAGUGGGUGGAGACGUGACAAGUGAUAAACUGAAGGACUGGCUGAUCUCGCGGCAGCGCUACUGGGGCACGCCAAUCCCCGUGGUCCACUGCCCAGCCUGCGGCCCCGUGCCGGUGCCUCUGGAGGACUUGCCGGUGACCUUGCCCAGCGUCACGUCUUUCACCGGCAAGGGAGGCUCCCCACUGGCCACAGCUUCGGAGUGGGUGAACUGCUCCUGCCCUAGGUGCAAGGGAGCAGCCCAGAGAGAGACAGACACGAUGGAUACCUUUGUUGAUUCUGCUUGGUACUACUUCAGAUACACCGACCCUCAGAAUGCUCACAGCCCUUUUAGCGCAGCUUUGGCCGAUUACUGGAUGCCUGUGGAUUUGUACAUUGGCGGGAAAGAACAUGCUGUCAUGCACUUGUUCUAUGCGAGAUUCUUUAGUCAUUUUUGCCAUGAUCAAAAAAUGGUCAAACACAGAGAGCCUUUUCAUAAGCUGCUGGCUCAAGGCCUUAUCAAGGGGCAAACAUUUCGCCUACCGUCUGGACAGUAUGUACAGAGAGAGGAAGUAGAUCUCACAGGUUCUGUUCCUGUUUAUGCAGAAACGAAAGAGAAGUUGGAGGUGACGUGGGAGAAGAUGAGCAAAUCCAAACACAAUGGGGUGGACCCCGAGGAGGUGGUGGAGCAGUACGGCCUCGACACCAUCCGGCUCUACCUGCUCUUUGCCGCCCCUCCUGAGAAGGACAUCUUGUGGGAUGUGAAGACUGACGCUCUCCCUGGGGUGCUGAGAUGGCAGCAGCGUCUGUGGUCCUUGGCAACCCGAUUCAUUGAGGCCAGGGCUUCUGGGAAGGUUCCCAGGCCUCAGCUGCUGAGCGAUGAGGAGAAAGCCGAGGCCAGGAAGCUCUGGGAAUACAAGAACUCGGUCAUCUCUCAGGUGACCGCCCAUUUCACAGAUGACUUCUCGCUGAAUUCUGCGAUUUCUCAUCUGAUGGGACUCAGCAGCGCCCUCCUGCAAGCUUCCCAGAGGGUUGUUCUCCACAGCCCAGAGUUUGAAGAUGCCCUGUGUGCCCUGAUGGUGAUGGCCGCUCCCAUGGCCCCUCACAUAACCUCGGAGCUCUGGGCAGGCCUGGCACUGGUGCCGAGGAAGCUCUGCGCCCACUAUGCCUGGGACGCCGGCGUGCUGCUGCAGGCCUGGCCGGCCGUGGACCCGCACUUCCUCCAGCCGCCCGACGUCGUGCAGAUGGCGGUUCUGUCAGGGUAUCUUGCUGCCUGUUGGGGGUGUGCCCCAGUUAGAAAAACCUACUCCUUUUGUUGUGUGAAGUGGAGUCCAAAGAAGCAGAAAGCAGCCUCCGUGAAGCUGUCGCCUGUACCAUCACCCAGUGUGGGGAGGCGUGGGAAGCUCUCUCUCAUCUCUCAGCCUUGGGAUCUUGCAACCAGAGGACACAAGAACAGAAGGUAACAGUCCCUCCAUGGAACUCUCCUGUUCUUGGUGGACAAAGCAAUAUGGCGACCAAGAGCGUGAGCUCUGGAGUCAGCCAGACCUAGGUUCUGUGAUUAUGUCACUUAAAACCUCCAUGACCUAGGCAAGCCAUGGACCCUCUCUGAACCUUUGUUUCCUCAACUGUAAAACAGGAGUAAAAAUAAUAAUGCCUUGGGGUGUGAGGAUCAAGAGAGACAAUGUGUGGAAAGCACGUGGCACCUAGUAAGCUCUCAAUAAAUGAGAACCGCUUAGGAUGAUUGAUCUUGCCUGGGUAAGAAGAGGCUAAAGGUCUAGAGAGGGAGUCUCUUGGGUCAGAGAGAAGGGAAAGUUUAGAAAAAGAUGCAUCCCACCUGCAAAUGUCAAUCCUGGCCAUCCCAGGCCUGCGGAGGAAAACAUUUAGUGAGGAAACAUGGGGGGAUUUUGAUCCUGUUGGCAGAACCAGGCUUAUCAUAUGGUAUUUUCACCUCAUGCCCUGAAACGUUAGUAUUCUCUACUCCCCAGCUUCUGGUUCCAAGCCUCCUGCUUAGUUUCUGGGAGGCUCAUCCGUGUGACAGUGAUUUCUCUUUGGUGCUGGAGAUACUCUUUUCCUUAAGUGGUGGCCCAGGCCAUGAAAGACCUGAGAAGGGUCUUGGAAGCUCCCAAACCUCCUUCAAGCCCCACUGUGGCCAUCUACUCCUGUCCCAGGACGUGUAGAAUUGUGACAUGGGAAGGAAUGGAGCAAAGGAUGAAAAGUCAAGAGCUAGGAACCAUAGGGGUGAGUCCAAUCUAAGCCUCCAGGUCAAGUCUGGCUUGAGUGUCCUGCCUGUGGUGCCCAGAGUAGGAUCUCCAGUGACCUCUGCAUCCCUCCCUCAACAGCAGUUAAUGGAAGGAGCGUUUGGGGCUUGCUAGGGGAGCCUCUUGACUGAGUGGAGCAGCCAUCAUUCUUGUUGCCUCUGCUGCCAUGGCUUGGGGUUUACUGAUUGAUGGCCUGAGGCUGCUGGGAGCAGAUGGCCCAGUGGUAUGAGCUGGAGGAGGUUUGGAGCCAAGUGGAGAAGUCCACUAGAGACUCUUGCAGACUAUUCGUGGCCUGGGGCCCCUUGGGAGGCCAAUACUCAGACAAGAUGGCCUCCAAACCAAGAACUGAGAAUCAGAAGUUUUCAUUUAUGUGUGGUUUGGUUCCUGAACUGAGCUGCAGGGGACGGGUUAUGAGGCCACUAGUGCACACAGACUUGCUGCAGCAUGCAACCGGGCCAACAACACAUCCUGCUGGGCUGUAGUUGGUCGUUAGGGACCAGAGUCCAGAAAAGGCUUGAUUCCUGCACCAGCAGGCCUGGCCACAGCCUGCUGCCCUGCUCAGUAGGUUGCCCCACUAGGAGAGACAGGAAAGGGCAGCCAAGGCAAUCCAGGCAUUUGGAGCCCCAGGCACCAGUCAAGGGGCUUUGCUGCUGCUCUUGAAUCCUCAUGUUGAUGUUACAGAGUGGGAAUUAUGACCCACGUCCUGUAAAUAAGGAAACUGAAGCCUAGAAAAUAGAGUGAAUUACCGAAGUCACUGGUAUUGACCUCUACAGCCAGGAUUCAGCCCCAGGUCUGCCUUUCUGUGAACACCUCUUGCUUUCUCCACAGCAGCAACCUGCCUUCUGGGAGGGAAGAAGUGGAGGGGUCUUGGGAAGAAAUACAGCUGGUUCUUGUUCCUUCUCUCCGGGAAUUCUGAACUGGAGCUCUGGCAUGUGUGUGGCUCCACAGACUUGUCCCUCUUGGAGGAACAGGACUGGGCGUUUGUACCCUGAAUCUGCCUGUCAUUGGCUGAGGGUCACUUCUGGGAUUAGGGGGGUAAUAACUUCCUGGGCAGCUCAGGGUGAAGGGGCGCCCAUUGGCUCAGGGAAAGUUUUCCAGAAAAGGACACUGAGCUGUCAGCAAGCAAUGUGCAGAGCAGCUGGGACCAGGCACAUUGACCUGUGAAGAUGAUCUGGGAAGAGCACCCAAGGCAACCUCCACAAGGAGAGAAGGCCAGAGUCCAGGGGUGAGGAAGUGCACUAGACGGAAGCCAGAGUCACAAGAGAAGUGGAGCGUGCAUGGAGUCUAGACAAGCCGAACGGCCUCUGGCCCACCCUAUGCCCAUGGGCCAUGGCUCGGGCGGUGCCGCUGGGUUCAAAGGUAGAUAAGACCAAACCAGAAGGCAUUAUCAUCCCCCUUUUGCAGAUGACGAAACCAUGGCUCGAACAGGCUGUGACUCACUUGAGACCCAGGCAGUAAGUGAUGAAGUAUGAUGAUUCCCAGUCUCUGCUCAUCCCCUCAGCGCCCCUCCCCCUACUUUGUAGGAAAAGCCCAGUGCUACCACCGGGCAGAAUUUAGCUCAGGGGGUAAAUUUUUUCAUAAUGAUGAGCCGCACCCCAGUCUAUGGAUCAAGGAAGGGCAUAGGGGUAGACAAAAUGUGAAGUUUGCCCUCGCCCUUCUUCCUGUGAGAAGAGCGAGCAGAAAACAUCUGUUUCGUGGGCUGGGUCCCUGUCUGACGCUCCCAGGGUGGGCGGCUGAAGGCUCUCAUCCAAGCUGAUGAGUUUGGAGAUUGGAAUCUGGGGUGACCAACAAUGAGCAAGGGGGGAAUGCCCCCAGGGAGAGUGGGUGGGUGGUGACUGUGCUGGCAGGGAGGGGAGAGCCUGGAGCAGCCAGGGAAGGGCCAGUCCUUUGGGCAGAGGCCUCAGAUCCAAGGGUGGGGCAACACUUGUCCAGAAGGGUUGACCUCACUCGGGGCCUCCUCCAUCACAUCUCUAGAGCUGCCCACGUGAAGGAGGGGCCGCAGAGAUAAUGAGGCCCUGGGGGUAGGUGGUGGCCAGGCUGCUGGAGUCAUGGGCCUGGAACCCAGCACUUAUGACUCACCUCCGCAUGCCUCAAGCCCUGACCUUGGAGUCCAGUUCCAGGAAGAGCACGCCUAUGCCAGACACCCAGUGUGUAGGGUCACUGUCUGUGAUUCCCCGAGAUCAGCAACGAUAAUAAUAGUUCCCAUUUCGUGAGGACUAAUCAUGUACGAGGCCCUGUUCUAAGUGCUUUACCACAGAAGGGGUCUUGCUCAAGACCACACACAUGAGAAGAUGGCAGAGCCGUGAUUCCGAUGCUGCUGCACCAUAUUGCUUCCCAAAGGCCUUUAUGGAAAACAGCCCUCAACCCUCCUGGAUUUUCAGACAGUCCUGAUUUCUGGCUUUCUCUCCAAUUGUCCCCCAAAUACCUAGAACCGGUGAGUACAUCCCUGGUGUUCCGAGGCAGCCACUUCAGUGUGUGCCUGGGGAGGGUCAGGGCUCUCUCUGUGCUUGGGACUGGCCAAUCCCAAGGAGCCCUCACCUCUGACAGGCAGACAGAGUCCCCUUUGGGCUCCAUCACUGGGCCCUAGAAGUCAGGGAGUCAACUUUGCUCAACCCCACAUUCUGUUAGGGAAAUCCCGUGGGAGGGGAGCUGGGCCUGCAGUCACAGGGAGAGCUUCUUGGCCUCACGGCAGCCCAGCCAGUGUCUUCCCCAGACCAGUCUUCCCAUGAGCAAUGAAAGAAGCUCAUCUGGGAUUGCUGAGGGGUAGCCCACCCCUGGCCCCACCCAAAGGAGAACUCACCCACCCACCGUACCUGCACAGCUGCACCCUCAUGGGCUGCGCUCAGAACCAGGAGGAGAACCGGCCCUGAGGAGGGACUCCCUUCCUCAGACACGGAGGUGAGGGGGAGUGUGAGGAGGGUGUGAUGGGCACUGUGGGGUCAAUAGGGGAGGCAGGGCCACCCACAGAGAGAUGUCAUCCACUGGGUCUGGCCUGUCAUCCAUCAGGAAAAAGGCAAGGUCCCCUUCCACUAGAAACAGGGCCAGGGUGGGCCAGAAGGGCUUUGUCAGGUGGGCUCCAGAGGGGGGCUCACUGUCAGUGGCAGGACACAAGGGCAGCCUCUGCACAGAGACAGGCUGAGAGAAAUAGCUCAGAAGAGAGAACCGAAGCCAGGUGUCACUGAACAGCUCCAUUAUUAGUUAGCAGCUAAUCUCUUAGUUGUCAGUUAACACCUUAGUUUCCAGGCAAUAUCUUAGUUUGUUACUACUAUUUUAAUUGACUACUAUUAUGGACCGAAUGUUUAUAUCCCUCAAAAUGCAUAUGUUGAAACUCUACCCUCCACUUGAUGGCCUCUGGGAAGUAAUUAGGAUUAGAUGAGGUCGUGAGGGUUCCAUCCUCAUGGAUGGGAUUGGUGCCCUUAUAAGAGUCACGAGAGAGCUUGCUUCAUCGCUCAGCUCCCUGACAUGUGAGGACCCUAUGACAAGUCAGCAGUCUGCAAGCCCGAAGAGGGCCCUCACUGGAACUCAACUGCUCUGGCCCCUGAUCUCAGACUUCAGCCCCCGGAACUGUGAGGAAUACAUUUCUGUUGUUUAUAAGUCACCCCAUCUAUGCUACUUUGUUUCAGCAGCCCAAACUAAGACAACUGUUAACAUCUUAGUCAUCAGCAAACAAUCCAAGUUAUCAGCAAACAUAUUAGGUGUCAGUUCCCCUCUUAGCGAGUAGGAGUAGAGUAGACCUCUUAGCUGACAGUUACUUCAUUUAUUGCCUGCGACACCUCAAUGGUGCACUAAUACCUCAGUGGCCUGCUAAUAUCGUGAAUGUCUACUAAUCAUCUUUAGCAAUAAAAAGUUUUUAAUUAGCAGCUAAUUGGUAAUGCAACUAUAACAUGUAAACCCCCAAACCUCAGUGGUCUCACACAGCAAACUUUAUUUCUCAUUCCCAUAAGUCUUAUCCUUUGGAGAAGGGAGCCGGGGAGGAAGUUCACUCUGUUCCAGCUUGAUGGAGGAACCCAGGCUGAUGGAGGCCCCACUGUCUUCAACCCUUGGCUUUCAAGGUCGCCCUGGACAUUGAUAUCCAGGUUGCAGACGAGGGGGAGAGAGAGACGGAAUUUCAUAAGGAGAUUUUUAUGGGCCAGGUCUGGAAGUGGCAUAUAUCACUUCUGCCCUAUUUCUCUUGGCCAGAAUUUGGUCAGCUGGCCUCAGAGGGGCCUGGGAAAUGUGGUCCGGGUUGGGCAGCCACUUCUCAGCAACAACUCUGCAUGAGGGAAGGGGAACCCAAACCUGUGGGCGGCCAGCUGCCUCUGCCACCUGAGCAAUCUUCAUUUCCAAACUCUUGUUGUCAGUGUACAUCUAAGUUAUCUUCUAAAUAUCUCAGUUGUCUGCUAACACCUGGGUUUACAGACGUCUCCUGAGUGACAACUGUUUACCCUCUAAAUCUGUGAAAGCUCCUAAUUGUGGCUCUCAAACAGCUUGUGGUCACAGACUGGAUCAUCGCUUACCCUGCCGAUCCCGCCCUGCCCUCUGUCCUGGACUCCGGGCCGCACUCCACAGAGAUGCGUGAAAUCACAGACCUGCCUUAUGCCAUUUUAUGAGCGACCAAUUUUUACUCCAAAGCCACACCGUGAGGAGGUUAACAAGCUGGGGCCCCACCUGACAGAUGAGCAAACUGAGGCUUGGAGAGUCAGAUAACCUGCCUCAGGUCGCCAGCUAGUAAGUGUCUGGAGAAUGUCAGCAUUCAGAGGGCACGGACUUUUGUGGACCACCACAUAUCCCCGCUCCAGCCCCAGAAGCACAUGCAGGUCCUCCGGGAACAGCUCUCCACCUCCCCUCCUGACCUUCCUGUGGGCUUGCCUCUCCCCAGAACGCCUUUCCCACCGCGCCUGGUUAGCUCCUUGGGUGCCUGGAGCAAUCACCGGAGGGGUGUAGGCCGUAAAGCAGCAUGUCAGAGCCGCAUUUUGCUGGCAGUAGUGUGCCUGGUGAAUUGGUCGUAAGGAGACUGACGAGGAGGCAUUGGCCAAUGCCCAGUCCAAGCUGGGGAAGAGCUUGCCCAGGGCCUGCCACAGCGCGGACCUCGGGGAUGGCUGGAGCUCUGGGACAGGGCGGGGCCAUGGAAUGAGAGAGGAGAGACAGGCCAAAGUGACAUGUCCCAGGGGAGGAGGUGAGAAGGACUAUGAUGUCCAGCACAUCACCAGGGUAGAAAGUGCUGCCUUGAAGGGAGAGCCAGGAGGGCGAGUUCAUUCAGGCGGCCCAGAGCCUACAGGCUGAGGGGACCUGGGUUGGAAUGGUCGCUGUGCACCCUUGAGCCACCACAUCUGAUUCCUGCUUUGUAUCCUCUGGAGGAGAUGAGACCCCCAGGAUCUCAAGAUAGGGUGGACUGUGAACAUGUCCAUUCCAGUGGGCACGUCCCAGGGCCGGCCAUUGGAGUGUGAUUGCUGACGCGGGUCGCUGGUGUGCCUCACCCCACCGCCCGUGGAGAGGCCUCUGCGGGGGCGUGCCCGUUUGCCUCCCUGGGGCCUCCCUCCCUGCCGAAAUGAGGGACUGUGAUGAGGCGGGUGGGGGAAGGGCCCAACUCUACGCCUCUGCAUUUGUCCAUUUCAAGGCCCGUGGGACUUGUGGGCUGCAGAGGCCCUGGAGGUCUUCAGCCCAGGGAUGCUCACUUUCCUCCCAGCCCCUCCCUCAGGGAACUGCCCAGCUCGAGAGAGAAGAAGCCCUUUUUGGAGGUGUUGGGGUGAAGUUUUGCAGCAUCUCUUUGCAGUCGGCAUCACACACAGGGAGCUGUGCGCUCUGUGGCUGGCUGCACAGUUGUUGGGAGCAUGGGCUGCCGCGGAGCCGGCGACCCAGCCCCACUGCGCGUCUGCGGCUGGGUAACCCAUUUCACAUUCUCAGGCGCACGGUUCUCCGCAGCCUAACAUCUGAAGGCAAGAUGUGUUCUCAAAGGCGACAGCUGUGAUGUUGUCCCUGCAAAUCCUGCACGGUGGACAUCAGCAACUGGGAAGAAAUCCCAGAGACAAUAGUGGAGGGCCGUGCUGGGACGUGCCACCUCCCUGGGGCUUGUGGUGGCCCAGAGGGUGGUGUGGGAGACACGCGCUUGCAUGACAGGUGAUUCAGAAGAGUUGGCUUCUGAGCGUGAGCAAGUUUUACCAAUACUUUAACCAAUCUAUUUUACUCACAUUUUCCUUUUUAGUUAUGCGCCUCAGUGAUAUGAUAAAAUUUAUCUAAGUAAAUCAGAAAGAUAUAAUUUAUCAAGCACAAAAUUAAAAGUCUAAGUAAAGA